rnacentral:rRNA from 1 species
AGUGAGCGCUGGCGGUAGGCCUAACACAUGCAAGUCGAACGGCAGCACAGUAAGAGCUUGCUCUUACGGGUGGCGAGUGGCGGACGGGUGAGGAAUACAUCGGAAUCUACUUUUUCGUGGGGGAUAACGUAGGGAAACUUACGCUAAUACCGCAUACGACCUACGGGUGAAAGCAGGGGAUCUUCGGACCUUGCGCGAUUGAAUGAGCCGAUGUCGGAUUAGCUAGUUGGCGGGGUAAAGGCCCACCAAGGCGACGAUCCGUAGCUGGUCUGAGAGGAUGAGCAGCCACACUGGAACUGAGACACGGUCCAGACUCCUACGGGAGGCAGCAGUGGGGAAUAUUGGACAAUGGGCGCAAGCCUGAUCCAGCCAUACCGCGUGGGUGAAGAAGGCCUUCGGGUUGUAAAGCCCUUUUGUUGGGAAAGAAAAGCAGCAGGUUAAUACCCCGCUGUUCUGACGGUACCCAAAGAAUAAGCACCGGCUAACUUCGU